rnacentral:rRNA from 1 species
AGGGUUUGAUUCUGGCUCAGGAUGAACGCUGGCGGCGUGCUUAACACAUGCAAGUCGAACGAUGAAGGAAGAGCUUGCUUUUCUGGAUUAGUGGCGAACGGGUGAGUAAUACGUGAGUAACCUGCCCUUGUCUUUGGGAUAAGCCUGGGAAACUGGGUCUAAUACUGGAUAUUCUGCUUUUACCGCAUGGUGGGGGUUGGAAAGGGUUUCUGGAUAGGGAUGGGCUCACGGCCUAUCAGUUUGUUGGUGGGGUGAUGGCCUACCAAGACUGCGACGGGUAGCCGGCCUGAGAGGGUGGUCGGUCACAUUGGGACUGAGAUACGGCCCAG